UGUGCAAGAGGUAUAUAGAUUCUCAUAACCAACCAACUAGGAUUUGAUCGCCACCUACAAAUCUUCAAAACACGAUUUGAAGGCCACCUGUAAACACAAAAUAAAUGACCGAUUAAAGCCGUCAAUAAACAUGCACCUAGCAUAAGAUCUUGUUUCCAAACAGAUUUUCCAUCUAAUGAUUUCUUUCAGUAACUUCUUUAUCAUUUUAAAUACUUCUUCACCAGACGAAUGCUGUCCCAACGUUGCAGGUUGAGAAAUGGCACUCUAAUCCACAGAAUCAAAUCAAAAGAAGACUUAGCCUCUACGAAUGGCAACAUCAGUUGCACUUGAGUCGGUAAGUGAUCGGUACCGACCCGGAAUGGCAUUGGAUGUCACGCCAAGAAAUCUACGUCGAAGGUGUAAUCCGCCUAAUUGACAUCUAACGUUGGUUAAAUCUGCUGAUUCUCCGAAACAAACAAAAAAGGAAAAAAACAAAAAACAAAAAAAACACAGCAAAAAUGGUGGAAUGUGAAUUAGGUUUAAGAAACUUAAGCAGAUGAUGGAAAGUUGAGACGAAGGAGAUGAUCGAUCAAGGGAGGGUGAAGUUGCCGACCACUGUUCUGAUCAUGGACUCAGUUGUUGGAAUGUGAACGGCACUUCGGAUGAUGCUUGAAGUUCGAGAUUGUCCAGAUUGUCUGGAUUUCUUUCAAGGAGAUCAUCUUUUGACACCUCCUUGACUGCCUUUGCUGAUGCCCAACAUUCAGGAGAGGAUCAUCUACAAUCGUCAGACCAAUUUGCGUGACCAUUUGACGUUCGUUUGUCACAUUGCACUCAAAUCGACCACGAUGGAGAUUCAGCAGUUGUGAAAAUCUUUGACAAACCCUCUCUCGGAGCAUAACCUAGUGCAGCUGAGAUAUGCUCAAAUUUCGAAGCUCGCAGAUCGUGAAAGGAGGUGCGUAAUUUGAGAUAGGCCGAGGUGGACCUAACAAGGGAACAGUCCACAUUGCUUGAUUACCAACAACAUAUCGAGAAAGCAAGGAUAUCUCGAAUGAACAAAAAGUUAACCCUAACCAAAUCCAGCGCAACCCACAAACCGUAAUGGUUAAAUAAAACUUCGCAUCAUGCGGAACACCGGCGUACCCACACAGCGGACGCUUUCGAGCCUUGAAGACGAGGUAGAGAUUGGCAGAAAGGCGGAGACCAACAUAGAUCCGCAUCAAACUUGCGAAGCGUCUAACGUAAAGUGCAAUGGGAAGCAUAUCUGCCUGCGUGUAGCAGAUAAGGGAAGAAUCGGAAGCUCAUUUAUCUCGGCCUAUGACGAUGAGAGCUUUGAUUGUGUGCUUGCGAACGUCGUGACAACUACUGAGAUCCACUGGCUGUUGAUCGCCACAGAUUCCCUUGUCCCCUUUGGCAUUGCUCACGGCCCUCCUUGGUCAUCGCAGAUGCUUUCACAAGCGAUGUACGCGGCGCAAUCAGCUCAGGUUAACAUAUACAUCAGUUGGAUGGUUUCCAGUCUGUGCAAAGAUGCCGCUGGUCCCACUGGUCUACACAUUGACCGAGUAAAAACUUCAUUUUUGGGUUUACUCUUCGAUGAAGAACAAUCAAUGCUCGUCAGCUGAAAGAAAUUUGUGCUUCGACGAGAGGAC
rnacentral:lncRNA from 1 species